UCCGUACCGUCCAAACGUUAUUCGGAAUUACUGGGCUUAAAGGGUACGUAGGCGGCGCUGUUAGUCGGGUGUGAAAUCCCUCGGCUCAACCGAGGAAUUGCGCCCGAUACUGCAGUGCUUGAGGGAGACAGAGGUAAGCGGAACUGAUGGUGGAGCGGUGAAAUGCGUUGAUAUCAUCAGGAACACCAGUGGCGAAAGCGGCUUACUGGGUCUCUUCUGACGCUGAGGUACGAAAGCUAGGGGAGCGAAGGGG
rnacentral:rRNA from 1 species